rnacentral:rRNA from 1 species
GACGAACGCUGGCGGCGUGCCUAAUACAUGCAAGUCGAACGCAGUGGGGACGGGUGAGUAACACGUGGGUAACCUCCCAUCAGAGGGGAUAAAACUUGGAAACAGGUGCUAAACCGAUACUGAAGGAUGUACCCGCGGUGCAUUAGGUAGUUGGGGCGGUAACGGCUCACCAAGGCCACGAUGCAUAGCCGGCCUGAGAGGGUGAUCAGCCACACUGGGACUGAGACACGGCCCAGACUCCUACGGGAGGCAGCAGUAGGGAAUAUUGCACAAUGGGCGCAAGCCUGAUGCAGCCAUGCCGCGUGUAUGAAGAAGGCCUUCGGGUUGUAAAGUACUUUCGGCGGCGAGGCGUUACUCGCAGAAGAAGCACCGGCUAACUCCGUGCCAGCAGCCGCGGUAAUAC